GGAUAGCUCAGCCAGUAGAGUAUGAGACUUUUAAUCUCAGGGAUGUGGGUUUGAGCCCCAUGUGGGACA